rnacentral:rRNA from 1 species
UACGAAGGGGGCUAGCGUUGCUCGGAAUCACUGGGCGUAAAGGGUGCGUAGGCGGGUCUUUAAGUCAGGGGGGAAAUCCUGGAGCUCAACUCCAGAACUGCCUUUGAUACUGAGGAUCUUGAGUUCGGGAGAGGUGAGUGGAACUCCGAGUGUAGAGGUGAAAUUCGUAGAUAUUCGGAAGAACACCAGUGGCGAAGGCGACUCACUGGCCCGAUACUGACGCUGAGGCGCGAAAGCGUGGGGAGCAAACAGG